GUGUCAGCCGCCGCGGUAAUACGGAGGUGGCAAGCGUUGUUCGGAAUUACUGGGCGUAAAGGGCGCGUAGGCGGCAUGGCAAGUCAGAUGUGAAAGCCCCGGGCUUAACUCGGGAAUUGCAUCUGAAACUGCUUUGCUUGAGUCCCGGAGGGGGUAGUGGAAUUCCCAGUGUAGCGGUGAAAUGCGUAGAUAUUGGGAGGAACACCUGUGGCGAAGGCGGCUACCUGGACGGUGACUGACGCUGAGGCGCGAAAGCUAGGGGAGCAAACGGGAUUAGAAACCCUUGUAGUCC
rnacentral:rRNA from 1 species